CAGAAUAAUGGCUUUUCUCUGUUGUUUUUUACUUCUUUACCUUAAAAAUUUCAAAAGUUUGGUCUUAUAUAUCUUCAUAUCUUAGUGGUGUUAAUGAGGCAUUAAAUAUUAAGUCUUAUUCUUUCUAGAGAGUGUCUCAGUUUUUAAAAAAUAACCUCAGCUCUCACUUGCAUAAAUCUUAAUUUCCAUGUGAACCCAAGGGGGCUAAUCCCAAAAGGGCUUUUCUUAUUUUGAGCCGCCUCUUUGUUAUUCUUCCAUUUCUUUAUAACUCAUCCCUAUUUUUACUUGUUUUAUUUGGUCUAAAUUAUUUAGUAAAGGACUUGCUCAUUGGGAGCAGGGCAGUGCCUUCUAUAAUGGUGUUUCUCAUUGCCCAGUUGAGACUGCUUUUACUGGGUGGUAUUCAUAUGAGCUAAUCUGAAUUUACCAAUACUGAGUCUGAGCUCAAAUGGACCAAACAGCUGCUGGCUGAACAUGCUAAACAAAGGAGUUACACAUUUUUCACCUCGGUUUGUUAGGUUCUUGGUUCUCAAAGCUGAGUCCUAAGACCAGUAGCAUUAGUAUCACCUGAGAGCUUAUUUAAAAGGCAGAAUCAAGGCCCCACCCUAGAUGUAUUAAAUCAGAAUCUACAUUUUUAACUAGAUCCCCAGAUGGCUUAUAUACACAUUAAACAUUCAGAAUCACUGUUCUAGAUCACAUAAGUUAAUAUAUUCAAGUGGAAGUAGGCCAGAAUAGGCUUGUCAGUUACUAGAUAGAUAUUUGAUGACUUAGGGAUGCUCUGUAAAGAAAAAGAUAGGUUUUUGAUAAAAUUCAGUUAUUAGACAAAGCAGAAUACGAGUGCUUUUUAUAUCACACAGGAUCUUUUCUUUUCUUUUCUUUUUUUUUUUU